rnacentral:rRNA from 1 species
GUGGGGAAUUUUGGACAAUGGGCGAAAGCCUGAUCCAGCAAUGCCGCGUGUGUGAAGAAGGCCUUCGGGUUGUAAAGCACUUUUGGCAGGGAAGAAACAGUGCGUGCUAAUACCAUGCGCGAAUGACGGUACCUGCAGAAUAAGCACCGGCUAACUACGUGCCAGCAGCCGCGGUAAUACGUAGGGUGCAAGCGUUAAUCGGAAUUACUGGGCGUAAAGCGUGCGCAGGCGGCUUUGUAAGACUGAUGUGAAAGCCCCGGGCUCAACCUGGGAAGUGCAUUCGUGACUGCAAGGCUAGAGUGUGUCAGAGGGAGGUGGAAUUCCGCGUGUAGCAGUGAAAUGCGUAGAGAUGCGGAGGAACACCGAUGGCGAAGGCAGCCUCCUGGGAUAACACUGACGCUCAGGCACGAAAGCGUGGGGAGCAAACAGGAUUAGAAACCCCGGUAGUCC